rnacentral:tRNA from 1 species
AUUUUUGUAGUUGAUUAACAACAGUGGUUUUUCGUGCCGCAGGUCUCUGAGGAGCAAAAAUU